AACCCAAAACCCAUCAUUAUCUAUUUACCUAUCGUGCCUUCUAAACCCAAAAUACCUCAAAACCCCUCCAAACUCAUUUUCUCUUCUCCCGUGAGAAAACCCACGGAACCCCCGACCCCAGACCUCGUGAUUUUUCUCUCAUCCCCUACCUCGCGUUUUCCCCUUUGUUCGCCUGACUUUUCACCAGGCUCGUCGGAGCUGUGCUAAUCGUCGGACCCGCAACCCAUCGCGUCUCUUUCUCUUUCUCGUGACUCCUCUGUUAUCUUCGUCUUCGCUACUAUUGUUGCCUUGAGUUGUUGCUCAAUGAACAGUCGUCGGAAUCUUAUCGUGCUGUUGUUGUUCGUGGCAGGUGGUGCUGCCCCUGUUUGUUUUUGUUGCGUUGUUGCUGACUUCUCUCUCUCCCCUCUGUCGUGUGACCACUGCGGCUGGUGUUGUUGUUGUGGUUGUUUUAUUGCUACUGCUUUGUGCGUGGAGGCUAUCGAUGCUUAGUAGUUCAUCGGUGCUCCACCCCUGGGUACUGUUCUUUGCUGCUCCUAGUAGAGCAGAGGUAAAGUUACCUCUUUGUUUUUAAUUCAGAAUUCUUGACUAGCUAAUUGGUUAUGGAGUAUUAGUUUAAUUAAGAGCAAUUGUUGUGGUUUAUUGUUAAUGGGUUAUUGAAUUGUUGUUGGGUUGUUGUUGUUUGGUACUGUUAUGGUUGUUGCUGUUAUAUUGUAGUUGGUGGUGGUGAUGCUUUGUUGCUGAUGCUGCAUUGUAGUGGUUGUUGUGGGGUUGUUGUUGUUGUCUGUUGUUGUUAGUGUGUUGUCGUUGCUACUCUUAGUGGUUGUGGUGUGUGUUGUGAUUGAAGAAACAACGUCAUUAAGGUUGUAAUUUCUUAAUGGAUAAUGGUACAGUUAAGUUUUGUCUUAUUUUCAUAUUAUUAAAAUUAGUUGCUUGCUUGUUUAGUAAAGUUAUUAGUUGAGUUAAGAUGGUUUAGUUUGAUGGUUUAGAGUAGUAGUUAUGAAUUGAGAAUAUAGGAAAUUAGAAUGCUAAAGUGGAGGUAAUUCCUAGAUUGAGAAUUGAUUAUGGUUUCAUUUUCUAGUUUAGAAUAGUUAAGAUUGGUUGUUAAUUAUCGUUCUAAUUGUGAGAUGACUCUUGGAGGAUGAUUUCGGAGUGAAGUAUCAUUCGGGAUUAUGAAGGAAAUUAUGUUAGUGGAAUUGUAUUGCGAUUCAGGUUUGGUGUUGUGAGUCGAAAUUGGAAGUGGAUCAAGAUUAUGAUGUCGUCUUAGAUUGAGGAUUUAGUUUGUAUCUAGAUAGUUGAUUUGAGAAUAGUUAUUUAUAUUUCGUUGUAUAUAAUAUUUGGGAAUAUUAGUCGAGAUAUUGGUGUAAUUACGAUUAUUUUUCCGCUGUGAGUUAAUUUAUUUAAUAGUUAAUUUUAGUUCAUGAA